rnacentral:tRNA from 1 species
UCAGUGGAGGUUCAAUGGUAGAAUUCCCACCUUCCGUGCAGGAGAUCUGGGUUCCAUUCCCGGCCAAUGCA